CCCUCCCUCAUCAUUCGGACAGGUGCAUUUCUAUCAAUAUGACUAUAUAUAGCCCACCCAACUUUGUCUUUGGUUAUCGCCAAUACAAACCUUCAACUAAUCAAGAUAAGUCGGAUGAAGUCUGCUACAGUGGCACUGCUCAUUUUGAUGAACUUGAUGUUCACAAUUCCGUACCAUGGUCAUGCAACUCAGGGAAUUAAGGCUGAAGAAACCACCUUGCUCCCAGAUUCUUAUGGAAUCAAUGGUGGAAACAGCUUUGCAGGGGGCAUGACCCUAGGAAGGAAGCUGAUAGCAGAAACCAGUCUUAAUUCGGCUGCUGUCGUCUCUACUGAUUCAAGCCGUGUGGUCUCUGUCAAUGAGUACAACAACUUCAUAAGCCACGUCCGUGGUCCAUGAUAUAUGUACCUUAGUUUCGGUCUUAAAGGCUGUACAUGUUCCCUAAGGUUCUUAGAUGUAUGGCCUUCCACGCGUACCUGGUAUCCUACAAUAGUAUGUUGGAUUAGCAGGUUUCGUCGUGGCCCUUGUGUGUCAUCUGAUUUUAUAGUCAUCGAAAUAAUCUCUGGGCACUAGU